rnacentral:rRNA from 1 species
UGGGGAAUAUUGGACAAUGGGGGGAACCCUGAUCCAGCAAUGCCGCGUGUGUGAAGAAGGCCUUCGGGUUGUAAAGCACUUUGGCCUGGGAAGAAGUUGUUCUGUUUAAGAGAUGGGGCGAUUGACUGUACCGGGGGAACAAGCACCGGCUAACUCUGUGCCAGCAGCCGCGGUAAUACAGAGGGUGCGAGCGUUAAUCGGAAUUACUGGGCGUAAAGGGCGCGUAGGCGGCGAUGCAAGUUAGGUGUGAAAUUCCUGGGCUCAACCUAGGGACUGCACUUAAGACUGUGUUGCUAGAGUACUGUAGAGGGCGGUGGAAUUUCCGGUGUAGCGGUGAAAUGCGUAGAGAUCGGAAGGAACACCAGUGGCGAAGGCGGCCGCCUGGACAGAUACUGACGCUGAUGCGCGAGAGCGUGGGGAGCAAACAGGAUUAGAUACCCCCGUAGUCC